GAUGAACGCUGGCGGCGUGCCUAAUACAUGCAAGUCGAGCGAACAGACGAGGAGCUUGCUCCUCUGACGUUAGCGGCGGACGGGUGAGUAACACGUGGAUAACCUACCUAUAAGACUGGGAUAACUUCGGGAAACCGGAGCUAAUACCGGAUAAUAUAUUGAACCGCAUGGUUCAAUAGUGAAAGACGGUUUUGCUGUCACUUAUAGAUGGAUCCGCGCCGGAUUAGCUAGUUGGUAAGGUAACGGCUUACCAAGGCGACGAUGCGUAGCCGACCUGAGAGGGUGAUCGGCCACACUGGAACUGAGACACGGUCAAGACUCCUACGGGAGGCAGCAGUAGGGAAUCUUCCGCAAUGGGCGAAAGCAUGACGGAGCAACGCCGCGUGAGUGAUGAAGGUCUUCGGAUCGUAAAACUCUGUUAUUAGGGAAGAACAAAUGUGUAAGUAACUAUGCACGUCUUGACGGUACCUAAUCAGAAAGCCACGGCUAACUACGUG
rnacentral:rRNA from 1 species